rnacentral:rRNA from 1 species
CCCUUAGAUGUCCUGGGCCGCACGCGCGUUACACUGAUGCAUUCAACGAGCCUAUAACCUUGGCCGAGAGGCCUGGGCAAUCUUGUUAACGUGCAUCGUGAUAGGGAUAGAUUAUUGAAAUUAUUAAUCUUGAACGAGGAAUUCCUAGUAAACGCAGAUCAUCAAUCUGCAUUGAUUACGUCCCUGCCCUUUGUACACACCGCCCGUCGCACCUACCGAUUGGAUGGUCCGGUGAAGCCUCGGGAUUGUGGUUCUUGCCGCUUUAUUGUGGCGUGACCGCGAGAACUUGUCUAAACCUUAUCAUCUAGAGGAAGGAGAAGUCGUAACA